UUACACCGAAAAAAUGGCGGCUGUGUUACAGCAGAUAUUGGAGCGGUCGGAGAUAUCAAAACUCCCCAAAACUGUCUUAACUAAAUUAGAGAAGUAUGUUUCUGAACAGCAGUGUGAAGUUGAUUGUCUGAAGGCACAACAGGAGCAAUAUCGUGUGGAUAAUGAACAACAGUAUUUUGACAUCGAGAGGAAGUUUGCAGAGAGUCAGACUCAGUUUGUGUCCCAGACUCAAGAUCAUGAGAUACUGAAAGAAGAGUACUGCAAACUGGAGGAUGAGCUGAAAUCCUUACGAGAGAAAAAUAAGGCACAAGUGUCUUCAUACACCAAACUAGAAUCACAUCAGAACGAACUUUCCAAAGCCAAAGAUGAGCUUGAGGCCGAAAAACGAGAGCUUGUGCGGACAUUGGAAAGAAGAUCCCAGGAGAUGGAACAACAAAGCGAGGACCUGAAGCGUCUUAAUGAUAGAUUGGUGGAAGUCAGUUCAGAGAAGAUGCAGCUUCAGCUCAAGCUGGAUGAGUCAGAAGCCACUGAGGUCUCGAUCAAGUAUAAAGAGAAACGAAUGGUGCAGGAGAAAGAACUACUCCAGAAUCAGGUGUCCUGGCUGAAUACUGAGCUUAAGGCCAAGAGUGAAGAGCUGCUGUCUCUUUCCCGGCAGAAAGGCAGUGAGAUCCUGGAGCUCCAAUGCAACCUUAAUAACAAAGAGGAUGAAAUCGCUCACCUGCAAGAUCAGGUCUCCAGUCUGAAGGCAUCCAAUGAGAACCUUCAGAGGCAAGCAGAGGAGAUGAUCACCAAGAUGAGAGAGGCAAAGGAACAGCAAGCCAGUUUGGAGGAGAAGUUCAGUAAUGAGCUCAAUGCCAACAUCAAACUCUCAAAUUUGUACAAGGGAGCUGCAGCUGAUGCAGAGGCCAAGAGUGAGGAGCUCGGCAGAGCUGUUGAUGAACUUCACAAGCUGCUUAAAGAGGCUGGAGAGGCACAUAAAGCUCUAGAAGUGAAGAUGGCAGAGCUGGAGAGUUGUAAGGACAAAGAAAUCGCUGAACUGAAAGAGAAAAUAAGCAGCCAGGAGAAAGAACUGGAUAAUGCAAAUGAGCUGCUAUCUGAUGCCAAACACAGAGGAACUUCUUCAAUUCUUUCAGAGGAGCAGGUGACCACAAUGUCUCCCACAGCAGCUGCAGUUGCCAAAAUUAUCAAACCGGGCAUGAAACUUACAGAGAUAUAUACAGCUUAUGUUGAGACCCAAGAACAGCUACAACGAGAGAAACUAGAGAACAAACGACUGCACAAGUACCUGGAUGACAUUGUGCAGGAGAUGGAAGCCAAGGCGCCCAUCCUGAAGAGACAGAGAGAGGAGUAUGAGCGCAUUCAGAAGUCUGUUUCCAGUCUCUCUGCUAAAUUAGAGCAAGCUGUCACGGAGCUCCACCGCUUGCAGAGAGAAGCAGAUGAAAGCAACAAACGUGCAUCUGUGUUGGAGAGAGAUAACCAGAGGUUUGAGGUGCAGCUGGCUGACAUGUCUCAACAGGUGCGGGUUCUCCUUAUUGAGCUGGAGGAAGCGCGUGGUAACCAUGUGAUGCGUGAGGAGGAUGAGGUGUGUUCUGCGGAUGUGAGCAGCACAUCAGAGGUGAUUUCUCAACACCUGGUCACCUUCCGCAGUGUUGAAGAACUGCAGCAGCAGAACCAGCGACUCCUAGUGGCACUCAGAGACCUCAGUGAGGAAAAGGAAAAGGAUGAGUUGGAGGGAGACACCAUGAAACGGAGUGAGGUGGAGAAAUAUCUUGAGGAGCUUCAGCGUGAGUUGGAGCAGCUAAAGGAAAAGAGAGCUCAGGAUCUGCAGAAGGUUGACGCUGUGGCACGACAAAGGGAUAUGUUCCGCAUGCUUCUGACCCAGGCCACUGGAGUCCCCUUCCCACAGGGUGCUGGUAAUGAGGAGCUUAUGCUGACCUCCACCCCCCGUCGUUCUCCAGCCGUCACACCCACUGCGAGCACCCCUACAGGACUGGUUGCCACUGUGAUAGAAUCCACUGACUCAGUAGAAGCCAAGGCUGCACUGAAGCAGCUUCAGGAAGUUUUUGUGGCCUAUAAAAAGGAAAAAACUGAGUCUGAAAAAGCCCUGACUGAGCAAAGCGAGAAACUCCAGGAUCAAGUGACUGAACUCCGCUCUGAAAACACCAAGAUCUCCACACAGCUGGAGUUCACCUCCAAACGGUAUGAGAUGCUCCAGGAUAACGUGGAGAGCUACCGUAAGGAGAUUGCCUCUCUGAAUGAGAAGAGUCAGAAACAGGCUGCAGCAAUUCAGCAGAGUGAACAGACCAUACACACCCUCACCCAGGACCUCCGAGCAGCAGCUGAGAAACUCUCCAUUGCCGAGUCUGCAGCAGAGAACCUGCGUAAAGAGAGAGACAUGUUGAAGAUGGUGGAGAUCAGACUGACCCAGGAGAAAGAGUCCUUCCAGGCCCAACAGCUUGGCAAAAACAUGCUGCUGACCAACCUCAAAUCAAUACAGGCAACUCUAGAGCGCUCUGAGACAGAGACCAGACAGCGGCUGACUGCUCAGAUUGAGAAGCAGGAGCGAGAGAUUACUCAGCUCCAGAAGAGACUCGAGAAUGAGGUGGAACAGAAGCACCUGCUGGCACGCAAUCAAGACAUGCAGCUGAUGGAUGUUAAGAAGCAGCUGGAAACACAGACUUCCCAGUACCACAGGACAAGAGAGCAGCUUAGUGCUGCCCAACUUGAGCUUAACAACCUAAAGAUGCAUAUGAGUAGCAGGGAGAGCCGGCUGAUAUCCCCCACAGUACAUACAGGCCUGCAGGGCACUGAAGGUGACAUGGAGGCUCUGCGUGCCCAGCUGAAGCAGGCUGAGAGCAAGGCAGAAGAGCUGGCUGAACGACUGAAGAACACUACUGCAAGCAUGGAACAGUACAAGUCCAUGAGUCUUAGCUUAGAGGAGUCCCUGGAUAAAGAGAAACAGGUAACUGAGAAGGUGCGAUCAUCUGUGCAAACCCAGGUGGAGGCGGCUCAGGAACAGUAUAAACAGCUGGAGCAGAAACUUCUGGAAGCAGACAAGGAGAAGCAGAGCUUGCUAGAAGAGAAAAGCAAAGUUGUUGCUGCUGUGGAGCAAGAGUUGAACGAGCUGAAAAAAUCUCUAAGCAGCCUGCAGGCGGAGCACCAGACCGCCCUGGAGAGAGCUGCUGUUGCUGCUGCACAGGAGCAGCAGGCCAUCCUGGACAGUCAAGAGCAGGCUAAAAUGGCAACUGAGGCGCAGGAUAAGUAUGAGAGGGAGAUGUUGCUGCAUGCAGCUGAUGUGGAAGCACUGCAGGCUGCCAAAGCACAGACUCUGCAAGCAGCUCAUCUCAGACAGCAGCUGGAAGAGAAAGUUCAGAGCACCAGUGCACAGCUUCUAGAGGCUCGUGUCUCUUGGGAGGAGCAAGAGAAAAUUCUCAAGGAGGAGCAGUCUAAGUUAGAGUCUCGCUGUGAGGAUCUGCAGAAGCAGAACACACUCCUUCAUGAGCAGAUACAGACUCUAAGUGGACAAAUGGCCAGUCAGCUGCAGCGAGCCACCAGUGAGAGUCCACUCAACAUCUCUCUGACAGAGGAGGGCAAGUCUCAGGAGCAGCUCCUGGAGAUCUUAAGAUUUGUGCGACGGGAGAAGGAGAUCGCAGAGUCUCGGUUUGAGGUGGUCCAGGGUGAGAGUCUGAGGCACAGGCUGAGAGUGGAACAUCUGGAGAGAGAGCUGAAGGACGUGCAGGAGAGUCUGAAUGCAGAGAGAGAGAAGAUGCAGGUGACUGCAAAGACUCUGGCCCAGCAUGAUGAGCUGAUGAAGAAGACAGAGACCAUGAAUGUGCUAAUGGAGACCAAUAAGAUGCUGAGGGAGGAGAAAAAGAAACUGGAACAGGAGCUGCAGGAUACUCAAGCCAAGGUGCGUAAACUUGAGUCAGACAUCUUGCCCAUGCAGGAGUCCAAUGCAGAGCUGAGUGAGAAGAGUGGUAUGCUACAGGCAGAGAAGAAGCUUCUGGAAGAAGAUAUCAAACGCUGGAAAGCUCGCACUCAGCACCUGGUGAGCCAGCAGAAGGACACUGACCCAGAGGAGUACAAGCGGAUGCACUCUGAGAGGGAAGCGCAUCUCAAACGCAUCCAGCAGCUUGUCGAGGAGACUAGUCGGCUCAAAGCUGAAGCUUCCAGGAACAGUGGCUCUUUGACUAUGAUGCAGUCUCAGGUGCAGAACCUAAGGGAGAACUUGGGGAAGGUUUUGGUGGAGAGGGACAGCCUGAAGAAAGACCAGGAGGCUAAAAAUCUGGACAUCCAGGAGAAACUAAAAACCAUCACACAAGUUAAAAAGAUUGGUCGACGUUACAAAACCCAGUAUGAAGAGCUCAAGGUUGAAUAUGACAAGUUGGUAGCCGCAGCAGCAUCUGCACCGGCUCAGGAUCAAGAGGCACAGCAGGCAUCAGCUCAAGAACUUCAGGCCCUCAAGGAGUCCCUCAACCAAUCAGAUAACAGGACAAGAGAACUGGAAGGCCAUCUGGAGAAUCUCAAUAGAACUGUAGGUGAGCGGGAAACAGAGGCACGUAAUGCACAGGAACAGGCCUCUCGUCUACAAGCGGAGCUGACGCGUCUCAGGCAGGAGCUUCAGGAGAAAUCAUCUCAGGAGGAGCGACUCAAACAGCAGCUGACUGAAAAGGAGGAGAGGACCAAGAAGGCAAUAGUAAUGGCUAAGCAGAAGAUCAGCCAGCUUACUGGUGUAAAAGGUCAGCUCCAGAAAGAAAAUGAAGAGCUGAAGCAACAAAAAGAGGAAUUGGAAGUGCGAGUGAGUGCACUAAAGUCUCAGUAUGAGGGGCGUCUGAGCAGACAGGAAAGGGAGCUGCGAGACCUCCGCGAGCAGCAGGAGAGACAUGGAGAACAGAGAGAUGAGCCUCCGGAGCAGGGCUCCAGCAAGACCCAGGAACCGCAAAGGACAACAGAACAGCGACAGAUCUCUCUGAAGUCUACACCAGUGGCAGAAAGAGGAAGUGCAAGCACUUCAGAGCCUCCAACUGCUAACAUAAAGCCCACGCCACUGGCAGCAACCCCCAGCAAGCCUCCAGCCAUUCCAGGAAACAAAUCCACACCAAGGGCCAGCAUUAAACCCAUGAUCACUCCUGCCCCAGUGCCCACCCCUACACCCACCGCCACAGUCAUGCCCACCACGCAGGUGGAGAGCCAAGAGCCUAUGCAGUCAUCCGAAGGCCCGCUUGAGCAUGUGACUGUGUAUGGCAGUGCCAGCGGUUCAGUGCGGUCCACUAGCCCUAAUGUUCAGACCACCCUGGCUCAACCUCUGCUGAACGUUCAACAGCAGAGCCAGGCCACUGCGUUCAUCCAACCCACCCAGCAACAAACCCAACCCCCUGCUGAACCAUCCAAUCAGGAACCUCCAGCUGCUGUAAUGCUCCCAAACUCACAGUUAGACAGGCCUCUUUCUACAUCCACAGGGAUCUGGAGUGCCACCGCUAGCACAAGCAGUGCCAGUGCAGUGUCUGCAUCUCCUAGUAGUGCCUUGAGCAAACGCCCCCGUGAAGAGGAGCAAGAGAGCAUGUCUGCUGACACACAAUCCCAGGAUGAGCCUAGUGACACUCCCAUUUGCAAGAGGGUUCGCAUUCAUAGAGUAGGUCUAGAGGAAGAGAUGUUGGCUGAAGACAGCACUGAGGCUGAGUGCGUUGUACCAGGUGAGAGCCAAGAGGCUCCUGACGCUGGACAAGUUAUGGAGUUGGAGAGCUACGGUACUUUGGAGGAGAUGGAUGAGGAACCAGGACCGUCUCAGUCUGUCCCUGGAGACCGACUUCUGCCCCAUCCCUCUGAGACCCAUCGAAGCCCGGAGGAGCCUGAUCAUCAUGUCAUAGUCAUUGUUAGUGACACAGAUAGUGAGGGAGACCAUGAAGAGGAGUCUGAGGAGGAGGAGGAGGAGGAAGAGGAGCAGGAUUACGAGGAGGAGGAUGAGGAAGAGGAGGAGGAAGAUGAUGACGAUGAGGAGGAUGGCGGUAUUGGGGAAGAGGGAGAAGAGAGCAAUGAAGGGAGCGGCAGCAGAGAUGGCAAUGAGGCCUACGAGGGGGACGACACAGAGAAGUAAAAAGAAACUCAACAAAACACUUUAAAGACCGACAGCCGGAUCAAAUGAAAGAGUUCAAGCAGCUGCAGGCUGAGGAAGAUCAUGAAGCACCAACAAACCCUAAAACAGACAACAGUGUACCAUUUGUUUUUUAGCGGCAGCAGAAAUAUGACAAACUUUUGGGUGAAACUUGUUUAACUUUUUUCAUACUUUUAUUACUUGUGGAAAACCUUGAAACAAUUUUAAAUGAGCAUAAAGAAUGGCAUUGAUAUUUGUACAGUUUAUUUUUGUUUAACUUUUAUUAAUAAAAAAUGUUUUUUAAUUAGCAUGUUUUUGUGUUUUGCUUUGGUACCGAAAUUGGUACAGAGAAUCGUGGAUUUUCACUGGUAUUGGUACCGAAUACUGAAAUUUUGGUACUGUGACAACACUAAUUGUGAGACAUUACAAUUUAAGAUCUUUUCUAUUUUACUAUAUGUAAUUUAUUCCUGUCAUGGCAAAGCUACAUUUUCAGCAGCCAUUUCCCAUGUCUUCAGUGUCAUAUGAUCUUUCAGAAAUCUGUUUAAUAUGCUGAUUUUGUGCUCAGGAAACAUUUCUUAUACAUGUUCUUAUCAAUUAAAUUUUUGUGGAAAUGUUACACUAUUAUUCUUUGAGGGGGAAAAAAAAAAGUUCAAAAGAACAGAAAUAUUUUUUAACUUUAUAAAUAUCUUUUCUGUCACUCUGAUCAAGAAUUGAACAAAAGUACUAAUUAUUCUUAAAUACUUUUGAACAGAUUGAUAAUCAGUCUAAAAUUAUGUUCUCUGCAUGGUUUUUGUUGCAAAGCUUGUGCUGGACUAAUGAAAUUUCCUUCAUGUGAAUGGGUAUCAAUGGAGUGUUGUUCAGUAAAUUCUCUUUCCCAUCAUUCCAAUUAAACAUCCUUUGGGAUGCGGUCAUUGCAUUGAAAGUGAGUCAGUUCUUCAAUUCAGUUUGCCCAACCCUAGUAGACAUGAGUGGUUUUAGUGCAGCAUAAACGCCUACAUUUGGACUGAGCAUCAGAGAUGUUUACGAAAGCACAUGUUUCCGAUGUGAGCUGUCUCAUGCCGUUUUAAUGAUCCAGCUGCAACUUGCCAUUAUGCAAUGUAUUUAUGAAUAGCUGUUGCAACAGCCUUUACACAUGAUUUAUGAUAAUAACAAAGUCAUUAAAAUCCAUUCUGCUUCAAAUAGCUUCAGACAAACAUUCCCUGUUUAUGUAUGAAUCAAAAUGUAAUGCCCAUGAAAUUAAAUAGAAAUGUUCUUCCCGCUAAUUCCCG